AUUGAACGCUGGCGGCAGGCCUAACACAUGCAAGUCGAACGAGUUGCGGACGGGUGAGUAAUUUCUGGGAACCUGCCUGAUGGAGGGGGAUCACUACUGGAAACGGUAGCUAAUACCGCAUACCAUCGGAUGUGCCCAGCUGGGCUUAGCUAGUAGGUGGGGUAAAGGCUCACCUAGGCGACGCUCCCUAGCUGCUCUGAGAGGAGGACCAGCCACACUGGAACUGAGACACGGUCCAGACUCCUACGGGAGGCAGCAGUGGGGAAUAUUGCACAAUGGGCGUAAGCCUGAUGCAGCCAUGCUGCGUGUAUGAAUAAGGCCUUCGGGUUGUAAAGUACUGUCAGCGGGGAGGCGUUACCCGCAGAAGAAGCACCGGCUAACUCCGUGCCAGCAGCCGCGGUAAUUC
rnacentral:rRNA from 1 species